CAUUUUGAAAUUUUCGAUUGUUUAAGGCUUUUUGACACUUUUUGUUCUAAAUUGUGGAGGUAUGUUCUAUUCUAUUCCAAAUAAAAACAGAUGUAAAGCUAAAAGAAAAUGUCUGAUUUAUAGUCAUUCAAACCAGACAACUUAUCUAGCCAUUCCUCGUUAAUUUGCGGAAGAUUUUUAGAAUUCAACCUUUUUAAAUCAAAUAACCACCGAACUCCGUAAUUCCGUUUGAAGUAAAUAUACAUAUUUUAUCUAAAACAAUGAAAUGCGGUUUUAACAGGCAUUUAAUUAACAUUAGAUAUAAUUUCUUAUCUAUCUUCGAAAAUGAGUUCAUGUUCAAUGCCAAUGGUGAUGAAGGUUGGCUAUAUUCAAUGAUUACCUGUAAACUACACGUUCACCGCUACAUUUUACUAAAUAAUAACAUUUAUUAUUAAGUUAAAUAUUUUAUCGCCUAUAUUUUGUGAAGGUUGCGUGUACUGUUUUAAUAUACAGAGUGUUUCAUAAAUAUGACGACAAUCCUUUAGGGAUGACAGGGACAUAACAACAAACGUUUUUUGGUUUGAAAAUUUCCAGAGUGCUUUUUAAUAAAUGUCCGAUAUUUUGCCUGGCUAUUCCUCAGGUAUUUGUAAUACAAAAAGUCCAUUUAGGCAUGGGUCCGCAAGGCCUUACUUAUUCAGCUACAGGAACUUUUUUUCUAAGUAAUUAUUUGGACGAAUCUUAGGCCGGUAUGUUUAGGAUAUUUUGCGAUGCGCCGGCCUUCCAACUUUCGCUGGAGGCAAUUUUGGUUGCACACCCGUUCGGUUGAGCAUCUGACGCAUGCACAUUUUAAUGUUGUUGGACUAUGCGGUGGGAAUUUGUUGGAGAUGGCUGUAGGCAUCUCCCAGCGAUCGCCAAAGCUAUUUUCUAACGAUCUCGAUGGAUUGUACAGUUGUAAUUGGGAUAAUUCAGACUUGGAAUUAGAUUUGAACAUACCACAAAGGUAUAUUCGAGAUAUGGAAAAUACCUUAGAGAAAUUGACUAAAGCCGAUUUCAGAAAACAGUUUUGUUUCUCAAAGAAAAUUGUGCAAAUGUUUAGUUGCCAUUAAUCAAUCAUGAAGAAUAAAUCAAAAAUCGAGGCCUUCCUGUUUCUUUGAUAAUAGAUAUUUUUAAUGAAUUUUA
rnacentral:lncRNA from 1 species